AUUGAACGCUGGCGGCAGGCCUAACACAUGCAAGUCGAACGAGUGGCGGACGGGUGAGUAAUGUCUGGGAAACUGCCUGAUGGAGGGGGAUAACUACUGGAACCGGUAGCUAAUACCGCAUACCAUCAGAUGUGCCCAGAUGGGAUUAGUUAUGUGGUGGGGUAACGGCUAACAAAGGCGACGCUCCCUAGCUGGUCUGAGAGGAUGACAAGCAACACGGGAACGGAGCCACGGUCCAGAAUCCAAGGGGAGGCAGAAGUGGGGAAUAUUGCACAAUGGGCGAAAGCCGGAGGCAGACAUGCGGCGUGUAUGAAGAAGGCCUCCGGGUUGUAAAGUACGUUCAGCGGGGAGGCGUUACCCGCAGAAGAAGCACCGGCUAACUCCGUGCCAGCAGCCGCGGUAAUUC
rnacentral:rRNA from 1 species